rnacentral:sRNA from 1 species
UGAGCUGUUGGGGGGCCCAUGGUGGCUCUGACCCCGGCCCUGCCCCUGUCCCCAGUCCUCCUGCUCCUCCCAGGAGCGCCUUCACCAGCUGCCCUACCAGCCCACGGUGGACGAGCUCCACUUCCUUUCCAAACACUUCGGGAGCACCGAGAGCAUCACAGACGAGGAUGGUGGCCGUCGCUCCCCAGCCGUGCGGCCCCGCUCACGGAGUCUCAGCCCCGGGCGCUCCCCCUCCUCCUACGACAACGAGAUCGUGAUGAUGAAUCACGUCUACAAGGAGAGGUUCCCGAAGGUGAGGUGGGACCCGAGGCGGUCGCGGGGUGACCAGCCGGCCUGCACUCUCGCUCGCCUUAUCCCCGCGCGCCCCCUGGCGGCCUCGGUGCGCAGCGCAGGCUCCUGGCGGCCA